rnacentral:rRNA from 1 species
ACGGAAGGCAGCAGUGGGGAAUAUUGGGCAAUGGGCGAAAGCCUGACCCAGCAACGCCGCGUGAAGGAAGAAGGUCUUCGGAUUGUAAACUUCUUUUAUAAGGGACGAAGAAAGUGACGGUACCUUAUGAAUAAGCCACGGCUAACUACGUGCCAGCAGCCGCGGUAAUACGUAGGGGGCAAGCGUUAUCCGGAUUUACUGGGUGUAAAGGGAGCGUAGACGGUUUGGCAAGUCUGAAGUGAAAUGCGGGGGCUCAACUCCUGAACUGCUUUGGAAACUGUCGAACUAGAGUGCAGGAGAGGUAAGUGGAAUUCCUAGUGUAGCGGUGAAAUGCGUAGAUAUUAGGAGGAACACCAGUGGCGAAGGCGGCUUACUGGACUGUAACUGACGUUGAGGCUCGAAAGCGUGGGGAGCAAACAGGAUUAGAUACCCUGGUA